rnacentral:rRNA from 1 species
CCCCUAGAUGUUCUGGGCCGCACGCGCGCUACACUGAACAGUUCAACAAGUCUUAACCUUGGCCGACAGGCCCGGGCAAUCUUUGAACGCUGGUCGUGAUGGGGAUAGACUUUUGCAAUUUUUGGUCUUCAACGAGGAAUUCCUAGUAAACGCAAGUCAUCAACUUGCAUUGAUUACGUCCCUGCCCUUUGUACACACCGCCCGUCGCACCUACCGAUUGAAUGGUCCGGUGAAGCCUCCGGAUUGGCGCGCACCUCGGUGCCGCCGAGAAGUUGGCUAAACCUUACCAUUUAGAGGAAGGUGAANUCGUANCA